UUAUUGGAGAGUUUGAUCCUGGCUCAGGACGAACGCUGGCGGCGUGCCUAAUACAUGCAAGUCGAGCGGACAGAUGGGAGCUUGCUCCCUGAUGUUAGCGGC
rnacentral:rRNA from 1 species